UCCCUGGUAGCUCAGACAUUAAAGCGUCUGCCUACAAUGCAGGAGACCCAGGUUCAAUUCCUGUGUCAGGAA
rnacentral:tRNA from 1 species